UUCAAACUUGUCGGGUCUAAAUCACAUUCUAUCCGGUCUUUCGCUUAAUCGUGCGUGAACCGUAUCAUUCUAAUACUAACCGGUCAAAGCUUAGGCUUAAAUAAAGGACCGUUAGGAAUCUAAUAGGUUAAUUAUAAACCUUUGUUCCAGAUUAGGAAGCCCGGUAAAAGCUACCGCCUUACCAUUUGUGACAUACUACUCAGGUAAAUACAUUUUGACUUAUUUUCCCUAUACGGGCUUGGGGUACGGUAUUUAAAAUACCGCUUGAUCGGCGCACAAGUCCUGCGCCCUUAUGGGUGUUCAGUCUUGAAUAGCUUGUGUGAUUUCGUUUAAACAGUUUUGUCUUACUUAAAGGCUUUGGGGGUUAUUGACCAUGUCCCGGAUAUCCUUGGCAUUAUCUUACGAGAUGGCCACGACCAGAGCACGGGGUGUAGGCGUACACCCGUCGUGUAUAACUCUUUAUGUGGUGUGUCAAUUAAAUAUCUAGCCCGGACAGUAGAUCCCGGGCCACCAGAGAUACGAGUGCAUGUAAUCGUUAACAAGUUUAUAUUUUAUAAUUAUCCCAAGUUAAUAAAAAUAUUUAUGCCUUGUGCAUUUAAAUCAAUUUUAAAUCAUUUUCAAAAUGAGUCGGUUGAUUUGUAUUUACCAGUGUAAACUGACGUAUUUUUCCCAAAAGGUACUAUACGGAAAUAGGCUGGCUGUUUCCUAGAGAGCGUCCACAAUAGUCUCGCAAACUCGGACGACAUUUAUCUGUUGAACUAUUUAUUUCUAUUUUUAUUUGAUCCGCCUGUGGAUCCAUUUCAACCACUGUGAUAUUUAUUAUUACACUUUAUUUAAAAAGUUGAAAUGUUUCUAUUCUGCUUCCGCUGUGCAUUAUUAUAUUGUGUUGAUUGUCUAUGACGAUGCCAACUACGUCACUGUACCCCACACCG
rnacentral:lncRNA from 1 species